GAAAGGGAGAACAAAGUGGUUUUCUUGGUGAAGAGGAAAAACAAACUAUACCUCUCUUGUUCAUCAACUCUUCUAGGGUUCACUCUAACAAUACGGCAUGGCACCAGAUCCGAACAGCAAUGGUGGCAGUGGAAGUGGCCGCGGCACCAGCAAUGAGGCCUCCGUUAAGGUUCCGGCUAAAGACGCCAAGAAGAAGGACGACAAGAAGGAUGAAGAUUUGUCCGAUGAGGACUUGGCGUUAAAGCAGCAGUUGGAGUUGUACGUGGAGAGAGUUCAGGAUCCUGAUCCUGGUCUGCAGAAGAUUGCUCUUGAGAGUAUGAGGCAGGAAAUCCGUACCUCAACAAGCUCUAUGACCUCAGUUCCAAAGCCACUUAAGUUUCUUCGCCCACAUUAUGGAACUUUGAAAACUUAUUAUGAAACAAUGGAAGACUCAGAGUUGAAGAAAUACCUAGCAGACAUACUAUCAGUUUUGGCACUUACAAUGUCUGCCGAGGGAGAACGGGAGAGCUUAAAGUACAGAUUGUUGGGUUCUGAAGGUGAUAUAGGUUCAUGGGGCCAUGAAUAUGUCAGGAACCUAGCUGGUGAAAUUGCUCAAGAGUAUGCUAAGCGACAGAGUGAAGAGGCCCCUAUUGAUGAUCUAAUGGAACUAGUACAACAAAUUGUUGCUUUCCAUAUGAAGCAUAACGCUGAACCUGAAGCAGUUGACCUUUUAAUGGAGGUUGAGGACCUAGAUCUGUUAGUUGAGCAUGUUGAUAGUACAAAUUUUAGAAGGACUUGUCUCUAUCUUACUAGUUCAGCAAGAUACCUUCCUGGACCAGAUGAUAUGUUAGUUCUGGAUAUUGCAUACAUGAUAUAUCUUAAAUUUGAAGAAUAUCCAAAUGCACUUCAGAUUGCACUUUUCCUUGAUAAUUUGCAGUAUGUGAGGCAGGUCUUUACCUCUUGUGAUGAUUUUCUAAGAAAAAAGCAAUUUUGUUAUAUCCUUGCCCGACAUGGUGUGUGUUUUGAGCUUGAUGAAGAGAUGGCUGCAGAUGAGAUUGACAGAGAGUCACUGCAGGAUAUCAUCAACAAUACUAGGUUAAAUGAAGGUUAUCUUACCCUUGCUCGUGAUAUUGAGGUCAUGGAGGCCAAAACUCCAGAGGAUAUCUAUAAGGCUCACUUACUUGAUGGCCGGGCCAGUGCUGGGGCAAGUGUUGAUUCAGCUAGACAGAACUUGGCAGCAACUUUUGUCAAUGCGUUUGUAAAUGCUGGCUUUGGUCAGGAUAAGCUGAUGACAGUUCCAACUGAUGCUUCCAGCGGUGGUUCUUCAGGUAACUGGCUUUUUAAGAAUAAGGAGCAUGGGAAGACCAGUGCUGCUGCAAGUCUGGGCAUGAUAUUACUGUGGGAUGUGGAUUCUGGACUUGCUCAACUUGACAAGUACUUCCACAGCAAUGACAACCACGUAAUUGCUGGUGCCUUGUUGGGAGUUGGAAUUGUCAAUAGCAGUAUCAAGAAUGAUUGUGAUCCUGCACUGGCACUUCUGGGCGACUAUGUAGAUAGAGAAGAUCCAUCUAUCAGAAUCGGUGCAAUAAUGGGCCUAGGAAUAACAUAUGCUGGUACUCAAAAUGAAACGCUACGUCAUAAACUGUCUCCUAUUCUUAACGAUGCAAAAGCUCCCCUUGAUGUGAUUGCAUUCACUGCAAUCUCAUUGGGCUUGAUAUACGUGGGAUCUUGCAAUGAAGAGGUUGCUCAGGCAAUUAUAUUGGCAUUGAUGGAGCGAAGUGAUGCAGAGUUUGGGGAGCCCCUUACUCGGCUAUUGCCUUUAAGUCUUGGUCUUCUAUACCUUGGGAAGCAGGAAAGUGUGGAGGCUACUGCUGAAGUUUCAAAGACCUUCGAUGAAAAGAUCAGAAAACAUUGUGACAUGGUUCUGCUUUCUUGUGCUUAUGCGGGAACUGGGAAUGUUCUCAAGGUCCAAAACCUUCUGGGUCAUUGUUCACAACAUCUUGAGAAGGGUGAAACCCACCAGGGGCCUGCUGUGCUUGGAAUUGCAAUGGUAGCUAUGGCUGAAGAAUUGGGCCUUGAAAUGGCAAUUCGUUCAUUAGAGCAUCUUUUGCAGUAUGGAGAACAGAAUAUCCGUAGGGCAGUUCCUUUGGCUCUUGGUCUUCUUUGCAUUUCAAACCCAAAGGUCAAUGUCAUGGAUACGUUAAGCAGACUUAGUCAUGAUACUGAUUCAGAAGUUGCCAUGGCAGCGGUUAUCUCCUUAGGUUUAAUAGGUGCAGGAACCAACAAUGCGAGAAUAGCUGGCAUGCUACGUAAUUUGUCUAGCUAUUACUACAAAGAUGCGAGCCUUCUGUUCUGUGUACGGAUUGCUCAAGGUUUAGUACAUUUGGGAAAGGGCUUAUUAACUCUAAACCCAUAUCAUUCUGAUCGCUUCUUGCUGUCACCGACAGCACUCGCAGGAAUUACAACCAUGCUGCAUGCAUGCCUUGAUAUGAAAGCGAUCAUUUUGGGAAAAUAUCAUUAUGUUCUCUACUUCCUUGUGUUGGCAAUGCAGCCGAGGAUGUUGAUGACUGUGGAUGAGAACCUCAAACCUCUCUCCGUACCUGUUCGAGUGGGCCAAGCUGUUGAUGUUGUUGGGCAAGCUGGUCGUCUUAAAACAAUAACUGGGUUCCAAACCCACUCCACGCCGGUUCUUCUUGCUGCUGGUGAUAGGGCAGAGUUGGCUACUGAAAAGUAAUUGAAUCGCUUGCAUUUGAUUUUGCUGUUUGGCCUUGUUUGGCCUUCUGGCUGUUAAUUAGUUGCUAACAAUUGGUUGUGUCCGUACAGGUGCCAUGUGGAAAACACGUGGAUGAAGUUCCUUGUCAGCUUUAGACUUCCAUGGCCUGCCCAAGAGAGGAAAUUUUGAUAUCUUCUUUACCAAAUAAUGGAUUUUAAGUCCAAGCAGAUACUCAAUAAUACAGCUAGGUGGGAGAUGGGGGUGCUGUAGGUAGGGGAUUGGGAAUUGCGUUUUAUGCCCCCAGAUAAAGAUAUAUGCUGCAUCGAUCUCAAAUUUUAGAUUUUUGCCUUAGUGUUUAUAAAGUGGGGGAAAUUCUUUUUACGUCCUUACCCUUUUUAUUUUGUAAAGUCCAAUUUUCUCAAAUGAUUCAUCUUCCCUCUCUCUUCUGCAUGCUUCUGCGAACUCCGAACGUCUCCAGCUCAGCUGCCCAAUGUUAUCGCUUAUCUGAUAAUUUUGUAAUUAAUUUUUAGUUUUCAUCUCUCUCUCUCUCUCUCUCUCUCUCUCUAUUUCUGGAUUUCUGUAUCAUGACUUACGUGCAAUCAAAUCCCCCUAUAGGCUGUUUGUUCCCCCCUAUGCAAUACUAGUUGGUUUUAAUGAUUUUUUGUCA